UUCUGAUUGGUUUUCUUUCAGAUCACCUCUGCCAGUUCUCAGACACUUAAAGGACAUGCUUUCUGCAGGACCACUCUGAAGGAUGCUUCGGCAUAUUGCUAACCUGAGUGGAUGGCUUGAGUUGACUUGGACACUCCCUCCCAACAGGAAGGGAGAUAUGACUGGUCACUAAUGAAAGAGGUAAUGAAGCUUUGGAGACAAGCUGCAAGCGGUGAAGCAACUUUACAUCAAAUGGAAAAUGCAUCUCUUUGCUGCUACAUGAGCAGCUUUUAUAGUCAUUAAAUUUACCUAAAGUGGCCCUUUUGUCUUUCUGCUUUUACUUUAUUUUUGCCUUGGUUAGUGUUUCUGGGGUUUUCCCUAUGGUUUCCAUGUUAAGUGUUUCCCAGCCCGAUUUCUGCUGUGGAUGCUGCUAACCGCUCUGGUUUUCUCCCCUGGACUCAAGGAGGUGGAGACUGAAAGAGGGGAAGGUGGGGAGAACCAUUUGCUUGGAAAAACUUGUUUAGAUCUUUCUAGCAUUGUCAUUCAAUGCCAUUGCCUCAGCUGACAGUUGCCUCAGUUUAUUCUAUGUGUUUUACCUGAGGAUUUCCCUCAUGAACCUCCUUUUUAGUCUGUUAGUUUGUUCUUUGCCUUUAGGUCUGACAGCACUUGGAGUUUUAGAAAAUGUCAUUACUCAUUGAUAGGAUCUGAGCAGUGGUUCUUGGCCCAUUUACUACCAAGGUUAUUUUGUUCUGUGGGUAUCAUGAAAUAAAAUAUCCAAGAGCUGGUAGCAUGUAAUUUUUGGAGUCGGAGGACUUUGGUUCAAGUCCCCACUCCAUUGCUUAAGAGUUGUGUAAGCUUGAGUAGUUACUUUAUUCUCCUGUGCCUUGGUUUACUCAUGUGUGACGGGGGAAUAAUAAUGAAAUGCUUAUCUCAUAUAGAGUUCAAUGAGAUUAUGCUUGUAAAGAGUUUAGUAGAGUUUGUGGAACAUUGUAAGCUCUUAUCAAAAGGGAGCGAUCAUUGAAAGAUUUUGCUUCUAAAACAGACUGCAUGUAUUAGGAUGUGCUGAGGCUUUUAUUAUUUCUGGCCGUGAUCUCCUUUAGACCUUUUCCACUGACUUGCAUGACAGCUUUGGGAACCUCAGGUGGGAACUUCUUCCUUGGGUGCUGAUUCGGCCCAUGAGGGUUGGUUUCCACUUGCAGUGUUUAUCUUCUAUAGAGGAGAACAUUUGUUACAGCUCUUCCCCUUAGUUCUUUAUUCAAAGGGCAUUUAAAACAAGGUUUGACCACCCAGAUUCCUCAGUAAAUAAAUAACAAGGAAAAAAAAAACCACCCAAAACAGAUCAAGGGAACUUACAGAUUAAAAGAAAUUUAAGAGACAUUUCAACUCAUUUCAAUGUACUCUCCUUAUUUGGAUCUUGAUUUAAACACAAUGUAAGAAGUUGAUGUAAUUGAUAUAAAAUUGAUAAAACUAGCAUUUGAAACACUGAAAAA